GAUGAACGCUAGCUACAGGCUUAACACAUGCAAGUCGAACGGAGCAGAUCCCUUCGGGGGUUUGCUUAGUGGCGAACGGGUGAGUAACGCGUGAGGAACCUGCCUUUCAGUGGGGACAACAGUUGGAAACGACUGCUAAUACCGCAUAAUGCUUUUGAGCGGCAUCGCUUGAAAGCCAAAGAUUUAUCGCUGAAAGAUGGUCUCGCGUCUGAUUAGCUAGUUGGUGAGGUAACGGCUCACCAAGGCGACGAUCAGUAGCCGGUCUGAGAGGAUGAACGGCCACAUUGGGACUGAGAUACGGCCCAG
rnacentral:rRNA from 1 species